rnacentral:rRNA from 1 species
CCGGCGCACGGGUGAGUAACACGUAUGCAACCUGGCCGUGACAGAUGGAUAACCGGGAGAAAUCCCGCCUAAUACAGCAUGACGCCGGGAAGGGACAUCCCUUUCCGGCCAAAGGGGGCGACUCCGGUCACGGAUGGGCAUGCGGCGCAUUAGGUAGUUGGUGGGGCAACGGCCCACCAAGCCGACGAUGCGUAGGGGUUCUGAGAGGAAGGUCCCCCACACUGGUACUGAGACACGGACCAGACUCCUACGGGAGGCAGCAG